GAUGAACGCUGGCGGCGUGCCUAAUACAUGCAAGUCGAGCGAACGGACGCGAAGCUUGCUUUUCUGAUGUUAGCGGCGGACGGGUGAGUAACACGUGGAUAACCUACCUAUCAGACUGGGAUAACUUCGGGAAACCGGCGCUAAUACCGGAUAAUAUUUUGAACCGCAUGGUUCAUACGUGAAAGACGGUCUUGCUUUCACUCAUAGAUGGAUCCGCGCUGCAUUAGCUAGUUGGUAAGUUAACGGCUUACCAAGGCAACGAUGCAUAGCCGACCUGAGAGGGUGAUCGGCCACACUAGAACUGAGACACGGUCCAGACUCCUACGAGAGGCAGCAGUGGGGAAUCAUCCGCAAUGGGCGAAAACCUAACGGAGCAACGCCGCGUGAGUGAGGAAGGUCUUCGGAUCGUAAAACUCUGUUAUGAGGGAAGAACAGAUGUGUAAGUAACGGUGCACAUCUUGACGGUACCUAAUCAGAAAGCCACGGCUAACUACGUG
rnacentral:rRNA from 1 species